AUUGAACGCUGGCGGCAUGCCUUACACAUGCAAAUCGAACGGUAACGGGCCUUCGGGUGCCGACGAGUGGCGAACGGGUGAGUAAUACAUCGGAACGUGCCCGAUCGUGGGGGAUAACGAGGCGAAAGCUUUGCUAAUACCCCAUACGAUCUACGGAUGAAAGCAGGGGACCGCAAGGCCUUGCGCGGACGGAGCGGCCGAUGGCCGAUUAGGUAGUUGGUGGGAUAAAAGCUUACCAAGCCGACGAUCUGUAGCUGGUCUGAGAGGAUGAUCAGCCACACUGGGACUGAGACACGGCCCAGACUCCUACGGGAGGCAGCAGUGGGGAAUUUUGGACAAUGGGCGCAAGCCUGAUCCAGCCAUGCCGCGUGCAGGAUGAAGGCCUUCGGGUUGUAAACUGAUUUUGUACGGAACGAAAAGCCUUCUUUUAAUACAGGAGGGUCAUGACGGUACCGUAAGAAUAAGCACCGGCUAACUACGUG
rnacentral:rRNA from 1 species